UGCAUACUCUCUCCGUUCGGAAUUACUUGUCUUGGAAAUGGAUAUAUCUAGAACUAAAAUACGUCUAGAUACAUCCAUUUUCGCGACAAGUAAUUCUGAACGGAGGGAGUACAAA
rfam:Triticum aestivum genome assembly, contig: Triticum_aestivum_CS42_TGACv1_scaffold_423775_5BS